CAGUACCCUUCUGAGGUUAAUCUGCAUUGAUAGACGCAGGUGUGGUUCAUCAGGAAUCUGUUGGCGUGAACUACGCGGUGGCGUCCCCCACCAGGCACCACAGCGGGUGCCUCUUCGUAGCGGCCACCGGCCGCCUCUUCUAGGACUCGCCGAAGGGUUUUCACGUCGCCGCUCCAACGGGGCUGUUCAUCUCCCCUUGAUCUGUGGGACUCCCCGUCCGUCUCGGGUAUGAACCCUUUGUUGGUGAUAGGGGUUGCAGAUAUUCCCUCUGUAUCAGUGGCUUGCCUUGCGUUGUUUAUGGUGUGCUUUUGUCAUGCAGACAUUUCUAAUUUUGCUCUGUCUGGACUUGGCAAUCUUUCUGUUCGUGAUUUGUGCUUUUGGUGUUUAUGUACAAAUUAUUUCCCGGUCCAGAGAGCAUAAAAAAGUUUGCUUUGUG
rnacentral:lncRNA from 1 species